GAUGUUGAUGAUGAUGCCACUGCAAUGAACUUAUCUAACGAAACAGUUUCUGAUCCUUGUUCCAAGAACAGUCCCUGAAUAUAUGAUGGACAGGAACAAAGUUUUAGGGAAAUUUUCUUUUGCAUGAAACAAUUGGGUGGAGCUGAUUCCAGGAUCACCACGAUUUCAAGUGUUGCUGACUGAUUGCAGCAAGAGCAAAUGUAUCAUUGCUUAAAUGUUCAAGGU
rnacentral:misc_RNA from 1 species